rnacentral:tRNA from 1 species
GUAGGUGUAGUUUAAUUAAGACAUCAGAUUGUGAUUCUGAAGACAGGGACUAAUUUCCCCUCACCCACC